rnacentral:misc_RNA from 1 species
CCUGCUUUCUCCUCAAGAAUAUUAUCGUUCCCAAAAUCAUAAACAAAUCAACUCAGAUUCACCAAUGUAGCAUGAAAAACAAUGCUUCAUCCAGGAAUCUCUACACCACAAGAAACAUAAAUGAAAAUAUACAUCUUUGCAGCAUCUACAAGUGUAGUUCACAUGGAAAAUAAGGCAUUAAGUGUCAAUCCCCAAGAUCUGAAACAAAGAAUCGUUCUAAUUUAUUCCAUUGCAUAAAUAGGAAGGCGCAAAAGAUACCUU